ensembl:lncRNA
AAAUAAGGUUAGUGUGUGUGUGUGUGUGUGUGUGUGUGUGUGUGUGUGUGUGUGUGUGUGUCAUUCAAAUUGCCUGUGGCCUGAGUACUGUGCUGAUUUCACACUUCUGAGGUGUUACAAAUUAUUAAUAUUCAAUUGGUUUCCAGUUAAACGCAAAUGAACCAAACAUAAGAACCUUCUUCACAUCAUCAUUUUCUUUGUUCUUUGGUUCUUGAACCAAAAAGGAAAACAUCAAACAGUUUUUCAUCCUAUCACGGCCUUACAGGAUCAAGAAUUGUCAAGCAGUGCAAAGAAGGCUGGACUGCAAAAACACUCCUCUUGUCUCUUGCCAGGUACAGCUCCCUAUUGUUUUUCUUUUCAUGUUAGAUUUAAGACAAGUCUUUCAGAAGACUGACAUUUCUGUAAUGAUAUCUUUGAUCUUUAUUACCCUUGUCUUCAUCCUGCCCUCUACAACUAGUACCAUUUGGGCCAUAUUUGAAGAUCAUAAGCAGAAAAGGGCUUUCUAGCACUAUGGAAUGAAGACAUUUUCACAGUCAGUCAAGAUGUCAGCAAACAGCAGAAUUUCAAUUUUGUCUGGAGCCAGAGGAAAGAUCUGGCAUCUGCUCUAUGGGGAUCGGUGCUUCGCAAGGCAGAUUUUUUUUUAUUCACUAAUGAUACCCCAACGGAGCGCAUGAUUCAAGGAAGGCUUUCACCCCAUUUGAAAAGGUCAGAGUUUUCUGCACUGGUUUUCUGGACUGGGGGCACUGUGCCCAAUGUCAUAUCUCUGAUGGUAAUAUGUUGCCAUGUCAUAAAUAUUCAUACAUUCAUAUAAAUGUGUUGACUUUGUUACACAGCAUUGUUCUGUUUUUAAAAAUCUGCACUACAUAUUAGACCUAAACUGGAAGGUGAUGACUGUUUACUUGGUCCAUUUACCAGGGGAAGUCAAACCAUCUUGUCACGACCGCUUGCUGAGGGGGGAAGGAAGCGCAGAGGCAGGACAUUCUGGGAAGGGGUUUUAUUAAUAAACAAACAAUAAACACAAAUAAAGAAUGGCUAACAGCUAACAGGCUAACAACAAAGGGUCUAUCACACAAAGCAACAAGAAACACGAUUGAGAUCCCCAACGGAGCUCCAUGCAGAUCUCCGUGGACCCUGGGGACCUCCCAAAAGCAUAAGGGCCUAGCAGACCCUGGGGACCUCCCGAAGACCAUCUGAAGUCUCUUUAAAUAGGUGGAGGUGACCAAUGACAGAUGGAGCUGGUAGGCCUCAACUCCUCCCACGAGUCAACCUAAAAGGGACAGGACGCAAAAAACACAGCCAGACACACAGAACACGUGGGAGCAUACAUCCAGGGACGUAAC